rnacentral:rRNA from 1 species
UAACCUACCUAUAAGACUGGGAUAACUUCGGGAAACCGGAGCUAAUACCGGAUAAUAUUUUGAACCGCAUGGUUCAAAAGUGAAAGACGGUCUUGCUGUCACUUAUAGAUGGAUCCGCGCUGCAUUAGCUAGUUGGUAAGGUAACGGCUUACCAAGGCAACGAUGCAUAGCCGACCUGAGAGGGUGAUCGGCCACACUGGAACUGAGACACGGUCCAGACUCCUACGGGAGGCAGCAGUAGGGAAUCUUCCGCAAUGGGCGAAAGCCUGACGGAGCAACGCCGCGUGAGUGAUGAAGGUCUUCGGAUCGUAAAACUCUGUUAUUAGGGAAGAA